UUUAAAAAUUAAACACAAUUCUCACUUGGACUUUAAAUAUUUUAAUUAAUCCAGAAUAAGCAUAAUAUAUUUUUGAGUGUGGUUAAUAUAAAAAUGUAGUGUUAAUCAUUUGGCUUUCAAAUUUUACAAGGAUGCGUUCGACAUUCACAAAUACCAUUUUGAAGAGAAAGUAAUGCCGUUUUAUUGUAUGGUAUGGAGAAAAAUUGAUUUGAGCUCCUUGCUAUGGGAACUGGUAAACCCUGAAAAUGGUCAAUUGAGCUAUUUGUGAAAUGACAUCAUCUGACAUUUCAGACAAAGCUGUCAUUAAUCCAGUGGUUAUCAAAUUGGAGGAAGGAGGAAGCACAGAAAAAGAAUUUGGGCCGGAGAAGGAGGGCAUCCUCCGCCUCUUUCCACUACAGGAACACAAAAGGACAGAAAUAUUUAUCUCAAGAAGCAGGGAGCAGGACAAGUAAUGGAGAGGUAGCACAAUCAAUCUAUCUAUCCAAUAAGAAAAAAGAACACAAACUUCAGGCAGAAGGAUGGUGAGUCAAAGAUACACAUAUUAAUAAUUGCUUUCUUUUUUUCUUCUUCUUCUCCCAAAGCCCCCCAGUGCAUAGUUGUAUAUUCUAGU